rnacentral:rRNA from 1 species
GCUUGGUGCUUGCACUGGGUGGAUGAGUGGCGAACGGGUGAGUAAUACGUGAGUAACCUGCCCUUGACUCUGGGAUAAGCCUGGGAAACUGGGUCUAAUACUGGAUAUGACAUGUCACCGCAUGGUGGUGUGUGGAAAGGGUUUUACUGGUUUUGGAUGGGCUCACGGCCUAUCAGCUUGUUGGUGGGGUAAUGGCUCACCAAGGCGACGACGGGUAGCCGGCCUGAGAGGGUGACCGGCCACACUGGGACUGAGACACGGCCCAGACUCCUACGGGAGGCAGCAGUGGGGAAUAUUGCACAAUGGGCGAAAGCCUGAUGCAGCGACGCCGCGUGAGGGAUGACGGCCUUCGGGUUGUAAACCUCUUUCAGCACGGAAGAAGCGAAAGUGACGGUACGUGCAGAAGAAGCGCCGGCUAACUACGUGCCAGCAGCCGCGGUAAUACGUAGGGCGCAAGCGUUGUCCGGAAUUAUUGGGCGUAAAGAGCUCGUAGGCGGUUUGUCGCGUCUGCUGUGAAAGCCCGGGGCUUAACCCCGGGUGUGCAGUGGGUACGGGCAGACUUGAGUGC